UUAUAAUUUGGUUUUUUUUAUUUACCUUUAUUGAUUAGACUUAGGCUUGGUUAUUACUUUCUAAUGUAAUUAAACUUGGACUCUUAGUACGUUUCCUACCAAGAGUUGGUUGCUUGAUUAAUAUAAGGGAGAGGCUGUCCAUGAUAGAGGCAUUCCAUUCCA